rnacentral:rRNA from 1 species
UACGUAGGGUGCGAGCGUUAAUCGGAAUUACUGGGCGUAAAGCGUGCGCAGGCGGUUCGCCGUGUCCGAUGUGAAAGCCCCGGGCUUAACCUGGGAAUGGCAUUGGAAACUGGCGGGCUGGAGUGUGGCAGAGGGGGGUGGAAUUCCACGUGUAGCAGUGAAAUGCGUAGAUAUUAGGAAGAACACCAGUGGCGAAGGCGGCUCACUGGCCCGGUACUGACGCUGAGGCGCGAAAGCGUGGGGAGCAAACAGG